rnacentral:rRNA from 1 species
ACACAUGCAAGUCGAGCGGAUGACAGGAGCUUGCUCCUUGAUUCAGCGGCGGACGGGUGAGUAAUACCUAGGAAUCUGCCUGGUAGUGGGGGACAACGUUUCGAAAGGAACGCUAAUACCGCAUACGUCCUACGGGAGAAAGCAGGGGACCUUCGGGCCUUGCGCUAUCAGAUGAGCCUAGGUCGGAUUAGCUAGUUGGUGAGGUAAUGGCUCACCAAGGCUACGAUCCGUAACUGGUCUGAGAGGAUGAUCAGUCACACUGGAACUGAGACACGGUCCAGACUCCUACGGGAGGCAGCAGUGGGGAAUAUUGGACAAUGGGCGAAAGCCUGAUCCAGCCAUGCCGCGUGUGUGAAGAAGGUCUUCGGAUUGUAAAGCACUUUAAGUUGGGAGGAAGGGCAUUAACCUAAUACGUUAGUGUUUUGACGUUACCGACAGAAUAAGCACCGGCUAACUCUGUGCCAGCAGCCGCGGUAAUACAGAGGGUGCAAGCGUUAAUCGGAAUUACUGGGCGUAAAGCGCGCGUAGGUGGUUCGUUAAGUUGGAUGUGAAAUCCCCGGGCUCAACCUGGGAACUGCAUCCAAAACUGGCGAGCUAGAGUAGGGCAGAGGGUGGUGGAAUUUCCUGUGUAGCGGUGAAAUGCGUAGAUAUAGGAAGGAACACCAGUGGCGAAGGCGACCACCUGGGCUCAUACUGACACUGAGG